UGAUAUGUAAGAAACUAUUUGUUACCCAACAUUGAUCUCCCAUAGUAUUUUGUAAGAGCUGUACAGCACGGCAUCCUGCCUGAACAGCUCAGCACAAGGCAACUGCAACACUGAAUAUGAUAACACUGUGCUCCCCACUGCUGGAAUGAGCUGGAGGAAUGGGGAGGGAAAAAUGGCACUCAGCUUUCGUGUAUAUGUUGCAGCUAAUUGAAAACUGAUGACAUUUUGAAAAACUACUGUCAAGUCCCCACAUAAAUUUAACCAUGUUGAGAAGUGAAAGGGGUAUUAAAUGCCAUGGAAUAUUUGCAUCUGGAAGCAUCCUGGCGUAACUGAAACUGACUGACCAAGUCCAAAAUCAGUACAGAGGACACCUGUGUUAGUCUAUGCUUCUACACACUCAGUAAGAUUGUAGCAUUGCUUCAUUUUUUGAUGAAGCUAAUUGACAGAACUGUAUCAAGAAGAUGCUACAGUAUCAGUUCACCUGUUUUACCUCUUCUGUGGUUUAAACAGGCAACUUCCACUAAGAUAGAGAAGCAGAGGCCUUCAUGUCCAGCUGGAGUUUGUGAUGUAGUUCUCCUUGCUUCCCACAGAACCUAGUAAAAUUCACUUGACUGUCUGCAAAUAUAACAUCAAUUUUCCACUCUUGGAUUUCUUAGUCUUGUUUUCAGUUACAAACUGGAUGCCUGUAGCCUGUGUUUCAUCAUGUGGAUAUGCACACUCGUAAUGAAAAACUGACUAUGAAAUCCACCUAUCUUCAGCCUGAAACAAUGUUCUUCAAAGCAUCAAACUUUCACACAAGUUGAUAAUAAACGAUCUGGAUUUACCCCCAGACAUCUACUAUAUAGCAACAAGGCUGGAGUUCCUUGUGGACCCUCAGGACAAAUAUUGUAUGACCAUCAAUGAUCCCUAUGCUAACACUUCCAACUGAGAUACCAACUCUGGUGGCUUAUUUGCUAUGAAGAGCAAAAAUUGAACUAAACCCAAUCAGCUGUUUCAUCUAAGCAACUGAAUUGGAUGGUACUGAGCUCUAAAAAAACAAGAGUAACUCUGGAGCUUGCAUGGAGAGCCUACAGUUUGUCAGCUGAAGUACAGCAGCUUUAAGUCAAGGCAGAAGUUUGACAAACUGAAGAAGCUGCAUCAUUUGCUCUUUAGCACAGCUUCACAAGCUGAAGUUUAAUCUCAGAGGAAUAGAAGUCAUUAGCCAUGUAAGAGUAUUUCUCAAAGAAGUCAGGACUUUGAUCUAUCAUGUAACUACUGCAGAGCUUUACUAGUUUUCAUUUUGUUAAUCUGCAAACUGGAUGAGUCUUGCAGAAUACAGCUGGUCUUGCCUUGCUUCUCAGAAAUGAUUUAAUAGCAGGGAGCUGGAAUAAGGCCUUGUAUUAGUGAGUACUUGUUAUAUUUGGAAAUUAAACUUCAGUAUGCUUACUGUCAAAUGCAAACAAACAAAUGUAAACUACA